CUGAAACCGUGUACGUACAAGCAGUGGGAGCACAGAGCAAUCUGUGUGACUGCGUACCUUUUGUAUAAUGGGUCAGCGACUUAUAUUCUGUAGCAAGGUUAACCGAAUAGGGGAGCCGAAGGGAAACCGAGUCUUAACUGGGCGUUAAGUUGCAGGGUAUAGACCCGAAACCCGGUGAUCUAGCCAUGGGCAGGUUGAAGGUUGGGUAACACUAACUGGAGGACCGAACCGACUAAUGUUGAAAAAUUAGCGGAUGACUUGUGGCUGGGGGUGAAAGGCCAAUCAAACCGGGAGAUAGCUGGUUCUCCCCGAAAGCUAUUUAGGUAGCGCCUCGUGAAUUCAUCUCCGGGGGUAGAGCACUGUUUCGGCAAGGGGGUCAUCCCGACUUACCAACCCGAUGCAAACUGCGAAUACCGGAGAAUGUUAUCACGGGAGACACACGGCGGGUGCUAACGUCCGUCGUGAAGAGGGAAACAACCCAGACCGCCAGCUAAGGUCCCAAAGUCAUGGUUAAGUGGGAAACGAUGUGGGAAGGCCCAGACAGCCAGGAUGUUGGCUUAGAAGCAGCCAUCAUUUAAAGAAAGCGUAAUAGCUCACUGGUCGAGUCGGCCUGCGCGGAAGAUGUAACGGGGCUAAACCAUG
rnacentral:rRNA from 1 species